GGGUUGUGAGGUUAAGCGACUAAGCGUACACGGUGGAUGCCCUGGCAGUCAGAGGCGAUGAAGGGCGUGCUAAUCUGCGAUAAGCGCCGGUAAGGUGAUAUGAACCGUUAUAACCGGCGAUACCCGAAUGGGGAAACCCAGUGUGACUCGUCACACUAUCAUUAACUGAAUCCAUAGGUUAAUGAGGCGAACCGGGGGAACUGAAACAUCUAAGUACCCCGAGGAAAAGAAAUCAACCGAGAUUCCCCCAGUAGCGGCGAGCGAACGGGGAGGAGCCCAGAGCCUGAAUCAGCAUGUGUGUUAGUGGAAGCGUCUGGAAAGGCGCGCGAUACAGGGUGACAGCCCCGUACACAAAAGCGCAUGUGCUGUGAGCUCGAUGAGUAGGGCGGGACACGUGGUAUCCUGUCUGAAUAUGGGGGGACCAUCCUCCAAGGCUAAAUACUCCUGACUGACCGAUAGUGAACCAGUACCGUGAGGGAAAGGCGAAAAGAACCCCGGCGAGGGGAGUGAAAAAGAACCUGAAACCGUGUACGUACAAGCAGUGGGAGCACCCUUUGGGUGUGACUGCGUACCUUUUGUAUAAUGGGUCAGCGACUUAUAUUCUGUAGCAAGGUUAACCGAAUAGGGGAGCCGGAGGGAAACCGAGUCUUAACCGGGCGUUAAGUUGCAGGGUAUAGACCCGAAACCCGGUGAUCUAGCCAUGGGCAGGUUGAAGGUUGGGUAACACUAACUGGAGGACCGAACCGACUAAUGUUGAAAAAUUAGCGGAUGACCUGUGGCUGGGGGGUGAAAGGCCAAUCAAACCGGGAGAUAGCUGGUUCUCCCCGAAAGCUAUUUAGGUAGCGCCUCGUGAAUUCAUCUCCGGGGGUAGAGCACUGUUUCGGCUAGGGGGCCAUCCCGGCUUACCAACCCGAUGCAAACUGCGAAUACCGGAGAAUGUUAUCACGGGAGACACACGGCGGGUGCUAACGUCCGUCGUGAAGAGGGAAACAACCCAGACCGCCAGCUAAGGUCCCAAAGUCAUGGUUAAGUGGGAAACGAUGUGGGAAGGCCCAGACAGCCAGGAUGUUGGCUUAGAAGCAGCCAUCAUUUAAAGAAAGCGUAAUAGCUCACUGGUCGAGUCGGCCUGCGCGGAAGAUGUAACGGGGCUAAACCAUGCACCGAAGCUGCGGCAGCGACACUGUGUGUUGUUGGGUAGGGGAGCGUUCUGUAAGCCUGCGAAGGUGGCCUGUGAGGGUUGCUGGAGGUAUCAGAAGUGCGAAUGCUGACAUAAGUAACGAUAAAGCGGGUGAAAAGCCCGCUCGCCGGAAGACCAAGGGUUCCUGUCCAACGUUAAUCGGGGCAGGGUGAGUCGACCCCUAAGGCGAGGCCGAAAGGCGUAGUCGAUGGGAAACGGGUUAAUAUUCCCGUACUUGGUGUUACUGCGAAGGGGGGACGGAGAAGGCUAUGUUGGCCGGGCGACGGUUGUCCCGGUUUAAGCGUGUAGGUGUGUGUUCCGGUAAAUCCGGUUCACUUUAACACUGAGGCGUGACGACGAGGCACUACGGUGCUGAAGCAACAAAUGCCCUGCUUCCAGGAAAAGCCUCUAAGCAUCAGGUAACAUCAAAUCGUACCCCAAACCGACACAGGUGGUCAGGUAGAGAAUACCAAGGCGCUUGAGAGAACUCGGGUGAAGGAACUAGGCAAAAUGGUGCCGUAACUUCGGGAGAAGGCACGCUGACACGUAGGUGAAGUGAUUUACUCAUGGAGCUGAAGUCAGUCGAAGAUACCAGCUGGCUGCAACUGUUUAUUAAAAACACAGCACUGUGCAAACACGAAAGUGGACGUAUACGGUGUGACGCCUGCCCGGUGCCGGAAGGUUAAUUGAUGGGGUCAGCGCAAGCGAAGCUCCUGAUCGAAGCCCCGGUAAACGGCGGCCGUAACUAUAACGGUCCUAAGGUAGCGAAAUUCCUUGUCGGGUAAGUUCCGACCUGCACGAAUGGCGUAAUGAUGGCGGGCUGUCUCCACCCGAGACUCAGUGAAAUUGAACUCGCUGUGAAGAUGCAGUGUACCCGCGGCAAGACGGAAAGACCCCGUGAACCUUUACUAUAGCUUGACACUGAACAUUGAGCCUUGAUGUGUAGGAUAGGUGGGAGGCUUUGAAGUGUGGACGCCAGUCUGCAUGGAGCCGACCUUGAAAUACCACCCUUUAAUGUUUGAUGUUCUAACGUGGACCCGUUACCCGGGUUGCGGACAGUGUCUGGUGGGUAGUUUGACUGGGGCGGUCUCCUCCUAAAGAGUAACGGAGGAGCACGAAGGUUGGCUAAUCUGGUCGGACAUCAGGAGGUUAGUGCAAUGGCAUAAGCCAGCUUGACUGCGAGCGUGACGGCGCGAGCAGGUGCGAAAGCAGGUCAUAGUGAUCCGGUGGUUCUGAAUGGAAGGGCCAUCGCUCAACGGAUAAAAGGUACUCCGGGGAUAACAGGCUGAUACCGCCCAAGAGUUCAUAUCGACGGCGGUGUUUGGCACCUCGAUGUCGGCUCAUCACAUCCUGGGGCUGAAGUAGGUCCCAAGGGUAUGGCUGUUCGCCAUUUAAAGUGGUACGCGAGCUGGGUUUAGAACGUCGUGAGACAGUUCGGUCCCUAUCUGCCGUGGGCGCUGGAGAACUGAGGGGGGCUGCUCCUAGUACGAGAGGACCGGAGUGGACGCAUCACUGGUGUUCGGGUUGUCAUGCCAAUGGCACUGCCCGGUAGCUAAAUGCGGAAGAGAUAAGUGCUGAAAGCAUCUAAGCACGAAACUUGCCCCGAGAUGAGUUCUCCCUGAGACUUAGAGUCUCCUGAAGGAACGUUGAAGACGACGACGUUGAUAGGCCGGGUGUGUAAGCGCAGCGAUGCGUUGAGCUAACCGGUACUAAUGAACCGUGAGGCUUAACCUUACAACGCCGAAG
rnacentral:rRNA from 1 species